rnacentral:rRNA from 1 species
UGGGGGAUAUUGCACAAUGGGCGAAAGCCUGAUGCAGCGACGCCGCGUGGGGGAUGAAGGCCUUCGGGUUGUAAACUUCUUUUGCUCUGAACAAGGCGCACCAUGGGGUGUGUUGAGUGUAGGGGUUGAUUAGCGCCGGCUACUACGUGCCAGCAGCCGCGGUAAUACGUAGGGCGCGAGCGUUGUCCGGAAUUAUUGGGCGUAAAGGGCUUGUAGGUGGCUGGUUGCGUCUGUCGUGAAAGCUCAUGGCUUAACUGUGGGUUUGCGGUGGGUACGGGCUGGCUUGAGUGCAGUAGGGGAGGCUGGAAUUCCUGGUGUAGCGGUGGAAUGCGCAGAUAUCAGGAGGAAUACCGGUGGCGAAGGCGGGUCUCUGGGCUGUUACUGACACUGAGGAGCGAAAGCAUGGGGAGCGAACAGG